GACCCAGCCAGCACCACCCAGGCGCACCGAGCAUCCGAUUGCCCCCGCGUUGCCCUGUUUUUCCCUCACGGUUUUGUUCCGCGUCAGCCCCAUCCCCACCCGGCCACCCCACGACCCCCCGAAGCGGUUUCUCCUCCCAGCUCGUGGUUAGUUUUCCCGACACUACUCCACCGGCCUGCUCGCGAUCUGUCCGCCCUUCCUCCCGGAGAUGACCCCGGGACUGGCACCGCCGGUGAAUCUCUGCGUACCCCCGCGGUCAAGGCGAUGCCCUCCCGUUCCCGUCGCUGCUCACUCCUCCCAUCGCCAGUUUUCCCGACGCCACUCCGCCGCCCAGCUCACGGUACGUCUGCUGUUCCUCCCAUCGCCGAUCCGGGGACUGGCGCCGCCAGCCAGCUCCUGUAUGUCCCCGCAGCCAAGGCGAUGCCCUCUCUUUCCGACGCGGCUCACUCCUCCCGUUGUUGUUCCGUGAGACCGCUCAAUUCUCUGCAUCGGCGGCGACGGCAACAGAAGCGUUGGACGGACAGUAGGGAUCCAAUCUUCUCCGCGACAGCUUGAUAUUCCUCCCGUGUAGAUGCUCCAGCGAGUCAUGUGCCCCAUCGAGCUCCUCGCCCUGCGCAAGUUGCUCCUUGAUCUACCUCACCCUGAAUCCCCAAGAUAAAAGAUUCUUGGAGAGGAGGAUCUUAACUAGUUCUAGUUUAUUUGGACCAUGGCGGAUGUGAUUUCUGGAUGGAUAUUGGUUGAGAUUUUUUUUUUUCAAUCGGCUGCUGUUUUACUCCCCGCUUGGUGCGAUGGUGCCACCGCUGCCUGCUGGGAUGACUGGAUCUACCCUGGUGCCAACGACUAUUCGACAAUAUGCUGAAUGCCAAGACCUCCUUGCGAAACUAUCAGGUGAUGCUUGCCAGUGCUGGUUCAGUCUCGUUCCCCAUUGUCAUCAGUUUGUACUUCAGCUCCUGCAUAUUUUGUUCUGGCUCCUGCAUGAGAUGGGUCCAGGAAACUUCAGUCUUCUCUGCAUUUAUGUUUUUUGUUAAUAGUUCAAGUUAUGCAGUAAAGGUUAGAUCAGGGUGCCAAUUACAUGAUUUUCUUACAGAAAUACCUUUUUGUUUCCUGAAAUCCUAUCAGUAUGUCUUCUUAGAUUGCACUGCACCUAUUAAACUUUGGGCAUAAUAUGCAGUAUCGAUCAAUCUAUACUUAUCUAUAUAUAGGUGUUGAUCGUUCAGAUUUGUGGUUUCUGAUUGUUACACUUUAUGGCAUGCUUAGUAGAACUUCUUGUGUGACAAAGAGGUGCUCAUAUGCUCAUAAAUCUUAUAUCUAAUGAACAUUGUUGUCCAUAUGCAUGCUUAUGUAUUCUCAACGGGUAUUAUAUUUGGACAACCUACAUCAGACACUCUCCCAGAUGAUUGGAUUUCCACACUCCGUGUGAGAUUCUAUCAUAAGUCCCUGAUUGAGUGGCUAACAAAUGCUGACCGAAUUAGGUGCAGGGAUUGAACCGAUGCGUACAGUUUCCUACCAUUUAAGCUGGGCAAGCACUUAUCACGCUGCAGCUGGCAGUGCACCGGAUGAAUUUUGCACAUGGACAUGAAGUGCAUCAGAGAAGAUGAGUGCCUGUUGAGAAUUCAGAUAUACAACAUGCUUUUGUUCAGAGACGGAGAUGUCCAGAUGCGCAUUGUUGCAGCAAACUUAUAUUUGAUAAGCAAGUUGGACACCAGGACUGCUUGCUGUAAAUUGCACAUGCUGGAGUUGCUUGCUUGAUGGAGAUGGCGCGUGCACAGACUUUUUUUAGGGAGAAUAGAGCUUCGUGCACAGAUAUUCGUUUGCCAAUCUCAAACAAUCAUUUUCUGUACAUAAAUCAAUCAGCCGUAUGAGGGGCACCAGAACAUGGAGUACAAACAACGGAAUUAGUUUGCUUUGGAUCGUAAAUACUGAAUUUCACAACAUCGAUGAAUGACUGGAGCAUGUGCAUGCGAUA